ensembl:lncRNA
GAUUGUUUGGGGUCCAGCGUGGUGGUGGUAGUGUGAUGGUAGUGUGAUGUUUUGGAGUCCAGCGUGGUGGUGGUAGGUUGAUGGUUUGGGGUCAGCAUGGUGGUGGUAGUGUGAUGGUUUGGGGUCAGCAUGGUGGUGGUAGUGUGAUGGUGUGGGGUCAGCAUGGUGGUGGUAGUGUGAUGGUUUGGGGUCAGCAUGGUGGUAGUACUGUGUUGGUUUGGGGUCCAGCGUGGUGGUGGUAGUGUGAUGGUUUGGGGUCCAGCGUGGUGUGGUAGUUGUGAUGGUUUGGGGUCCAGCAUGGUGGUGGUAGUGUGAUUGUUUGGGGUCAGCAUGGUGGUGGUAGUGUGAUGGUUUGGGGUCAGCGUGGUGGUGGUAGUGUGAUGGUAGUGUGAUGGUUUGGGGUCCAGCGUGGUGGUGGUAGUGUGAUGGUUUGGGGUCAGCAUGGUGGUGGUAGUGUGAUGGUUUGGGGUCAGCAUGGUGGUGGUAGUGUGAUGGUUUGGGGUCAGCAUGGUGGUGGUAGUGUGAUGGUUUGGGGUCAGCAUGGUGGUGGUAGUGUGAUGGUUUGGGGUCAGCAUGGUGGUGGUGGUAGUGUGAUGGUUUGGGGUCCAGCAUGGUGGUGGUAGUGUGAUGGUUUGGGGUCAGCAUGGUGGUGGUAGUGUGAUGGUU